rnacentral:rRNA from 1 species
AGAGUUUGAUCCUGGCUCAGAUUGAACGCUGGCGGCAGGCCUAACACAUGCAAGUCGAGCGGAUGACGGGAGCUUGCUCCUUGAUUCAGCGGCGGACGGGUGAGUAAUACCUAGGAAUCUGCCUGAUAGUGGGGGACAACGUUUCGAAAGGAACGCUAAUACCGCAUACGUCCUACGGGAGAAAGCAGGGGACCUUCGGGCCUUGCGCUAUCAGAUGAGCCUAGGUCGGAUUAGCUAGUUGGUGAGGUAAUGGCUCACCAAGGCGACGAUCCGUAACUGGUCUGAGAGGAUGAUCAGUCACACUGGAACUGAGACACGGUCCAGACUCCUACGGGAGGCAGCAGUGGGGAAUAUUGGACAAUGGGCGAAAGCCUGAUCCAGCCAUGCCGCGUGUGUGAAGAAGGUCUUCGGAUUGUAAAGCACUUUAAGUUGGGAGGAAGGGCAGUAAGCUAAUACCUUGCUGUUUGACGUUACCGACAGAAUA